UAAUGGAGCCAAGAUGAUUCACUGUUCAAGU
rnacentral:piRNA from 1 species